GUAGAGGUGACAGACCUAACGAGCUUAGUGAUAGCUGGUUACUUAAGAAAAGGAUCUUAGUCCUCCCCAAAUUUUUUACAAUAUUUAUAAAUAAAAACUAAAAUUUGGAGUUAUUCAAAUAAGGUACAGCCUAUUUGAACCAGGAUACAACCUCCUCAAACGGGUAAUUAAAUCCAUAUACAGCAAAGUAGGCCUAAAAGCAGCCAUCUUCAAAAAGCGUCAAAGCUUAUCUUCAAAUUUUCAUAAUCCCCCUAAUUUUUAAAACCCCUUAAUCUUUAUUAAGUAACUCUAUAAAAUUAUAGUAUUUAUUAUGUUAAAACUAGUAACGAGAAUCAGAACUUCUCUUUAAUGUAAGUGUAAAUCAGAAUGGACAAACCACUGAUUUUUAACACUUGAAACCAAAGUAACAACCCACCAAGAAAAUCUUACCUCAAAUAGUGUUAACCUGACACAAGAACAUUCUCAGACAGAUUGAAAGGAAAAGAAGGAACUCGGCAAACAUUAACCCCGCCUGUUUACCAAAAACAUCGCCUCUUGAUAAACAUAUAAGAGGUCCAGCCUGCCCAGUGACUCUGUUCAACGGCCGCGGUAUCCUAACCGUGCGAAGGUAGCGUAAUCACUUGUUCUUUAAAUGAGGACUAGUAUGAAUGGCAUCACGAGGGUUAUACUGUCUCCUUUCCCCAAUCAGUGAAACUAAUCUCCUCGUGAAGAAGCGAGGAUAAAUAUAUAAGACGAGAAGACCCUAUGGAGCUUAAAACUUUCAGCAAUUAUCUUUUCUAUAACAACCUUAAGGUUAUUACAUCAACUCUAAUAAUAUGCCUGUCAGUUUUCGGUUGGGGUGACCGCGGAGUAAAACUUACCCUCCGCAAUGAAUAUUAAAAUUAAGCAAAAAACUACAAUUUUAUGCAUCAAAAAAUUGACAGUAUUGACCCAACACUUUGAUCAACGAACCAAGUUACCCUAGGGAUAACAGCGCAAUCCAUCUCAAGAGCUCAUAUCGACAGAUGGGUUUACGACCUCGAUGUUGGAUCAGG
rnacentral:rRNA from 1 species